GUGCCAGCCGCCGCGGUAAUACGUAGGGGGCAAGCGUUGCCCGGAUUUAUUGGGCGUAAAGAGCGUGUAGGCGGCCAGGUAGGUCGGUUGUGAAAACUCGAGGCUCAACCUCGAGAUGUCGACCGAAACCAUCUGGCUAGAGUCCGGAAGAGGUGAAUGGAAUUCCCGGUGUAGCGGUGAAAUGCGCAGAUAUCAGGAAGAACACCCGUGGCGAAAGCGGCUCUCUGGAACGGUACUGACGCUGAGACGCGAAAGCGUGGGGAGCGAACAGGAUUAGAUACCCUAGUAGUCC
rnacentral:rRNA from 1 species